AAGUAGAAACACUGUGUAGCAGUUGAAGUAAAAUGAUAUAUUCAGAUCGUUAUCCAUAAGGUUCUUUCAACAAUUUAAUGAAAACUUUUUGUUUUUAUUAGGCCUACUGAAGUUCAGCAUCCCAAUGCCGUUUUUAUUCAAAGAACCCAAUGCUUAUUUGACUGAGCUAGUGAUGAUCGAUUGAACAAAGUUAUUGAACCAAUGCCGAUUUUAUUGGUGAUUGCGUGAUGACAAAUCAGAACAAUAUUCCAGCACAUUUUUAAAAACCUGUAAGGUAUGGAGAGAAUUUCUGGCCAUAAAACAACACAAUAUCUACAUAUGGGGAUAAAUUGUCAUCUAAAGCAGACAUACAAGGUUCAAUAUUCAGCCUGCCUUUUUCAUAAUGAAUACAUUGAAGAACAGACACCAUGACCCCAAGCUUGCUUCAAAAUAUGCUCCAUCCAUGCCUUAACAUGAGAGGUUUUCAAAUCAUUUGACCAUGAUCCAAGGGACUGAUGAAAUUUUCUUAAGUGAUCAAGGUAAUUACUUUU